rnacentral:rRNA from 1 species
ACCUGCAGGAAAGGACAUCAACCGAGACUCCGCAAGUAGUGGCGAGCGAACGCGGACCAGGCCAGUGGCAAUGAGGAAUAAAGUGGAACGAUCUGGAAAGUUCGGCCGUAGCGGGUGAUAGCCCCGUACACGUAGAACACUCAUUGUCCUUGAGUAAGGCGGGACACGUGAAAUCCUGUCUGAACAUGGGGAGACCACUCUCCAAGCCUAAGUACUCGUGCAUGACCGAUAGCGAACAAGUACCGUGAGGGAAAGGUGAAAAGCACCCCGACAAGGGGAGUGAAAUAGAACCUGAAACCGGAUGCCUACAAACAGUCGGAGCCCGCAAGGGUGACGGCGUACCUUUUGUAUAAUGGGUCAACGACUUAGUGUGGCAUGCAAGCUUAAGCCGGUAGGUGGAGGCGUAGCGAAAGCGAGUCUGAACAGGGCGCUUUAGUAUGUCGCAUUAGACCCGAAACCGAGUGAUCUAGCCAUGAGCAGGUUGAAGGUUGGGUAACACCAACUGGAGGACCGAACCCGCAUCUGUUGCAAUAGAUUGGGAUGACUUGUGGCUAGGGGUGAAAGGCCAAUCAAACUCGGAAAUAGCUGGUUCUCCGCGAAAACUAUUUAGGUAGUGCGUCGACCGAAUACCCUCGGGGGUAGAGCACUGGAUGGGCUAUGGGGACUCACCGUCUUACUGAUCCUAACCAAACUCCGAAUACCGAGGAGUACUAGUCGGCAGACACACGGCGGGUGCUAACGUCCGUCGUGAAAAGGGCAACAACCCUGACCUCCAGCUAAGGUCCCCAAGUCAUGGCUAAGUGGGAAAGGAUGUGAGGAUCCCAAAACAACCAGGAUGUUGGCUUAGAAGCAGCCAUCAUUUAAAGAAAGCGUAACAGCUCACUGGUCUAAAUAAGGGUCUUUGCGCCGAAAAUGUAACGGGGCUGAAGCCAUGCACCGAAGCUGAGGAUACGUCGUAAGACGUGUGGUAGCGGAGCGUUCCGUAAGCCAGUGAAGGGAUACCCGUGAGGGGUCCUGGAGGUAUCGGAAGUGCGAAUGUUGACAUGAGUAACGAUAAAGAGGGUGAGAGACCCUCUCGCCGAAAGACCAAGGGUUCCUGCUUAAAGUUAAUCUGAGCAGGGUUAGCCGGCCCCUAAGACGAGGCGGACACGCGUAGUCGAUGGGAACCACGUUAAUAUUCGUGGGCCUGGUGGUAGUGACGGAUUGCUCAACUUGUCCGGACUUAUUGGAUUGUCCGGGCGGGGACGCGGUUCCAGGAAAUAGCUCCACCGUAUAGACCGUACCCGAAACCGACACAGGUGGUCAGGUAGAGUAUACCAAGGCGCUUGAGAGAACUAUGUUGAAGGAACUCGGCAAAUUGCACGCGUAACUUCGGAAGAAGCGUGACCCUUUUCUACGCAAGUAGGAUGGGGUGGCACAGACCAGGGGGUAGCGACUGUUUAUCAAAAACACAGGGCUCUGCGAAGUCGCAAGACGACGUAUAGGGUCUGACGCCUGCCCGGUGCUGGAAGGUUAAGAGGAGGGGUGCAAGCUCUGAAUCGAAGCCCCAGUAAACGGCGGCCGUAACUAUAACGGUCCUAAGGUAGCGAAAUUCCUUGUCGGGUAAGUUCCGACCUGCACGAAUGGCGUAAGAAGAAGCGUGACCCUUUUCUACGCAAGUAGGAUGGGGUGGCACAGACCAGGGGGUAGCGACUGUUUAUCAAAAACACAGGGCUCUGCGAAGUCGCAAGACGACGUAUAGGGUCUGACGCCUGCCCGGUGCUGGAAGGUUAAGAGGAGGGGUGCAAGCUCUGAAUCGAAGCCCCAGUAAACGGCGGCCGUAACUAUAACGGUCCUAAGGUAGCGAAAUUCCUUGUCGGGUAAGUUCCGACCUGCACGAAUGGCGUAACGACUUCCCCGCUGUCUCCAACAUAGACUCAGUGAAAUUGAAUUCCCCGUGAAGAUGCGGGGUUCCUGCGGUCAGACGGAAAGACCCCGUGCACCUUUACUAUAGCUUUACACUGGCAUUCGUGUCGGCAUGUGUAGGAUAGGUGGUAGGCUUUGAAGCGGGGACGCCAGUUCUCGUGGAGCCAUCCUUGAAAUACCACCCUUAUCGUCAUGGAUGUCUAACCGCGGUCCGUCAUCCGGAUCCGGGACAGUGUAUGGUGGGUAGUUUGACUGGGGCGGUCGCCUCCGAAAGAGUAACGGAGGCGCGCGAUGGUGGGCUCAGAGCGGUCGGAAAUCGCUCGUCGAGUGCAAUGGCAUAAGCCCGCCUGACUGCGAGACUGACAAGUCGAGCAGAGACGAAAGUCGGUCAUAGUGAUCCGGUGGUCCCGCGUGGAAGGGCCAUCGCUCAACGGAUAAAAGGUACGCCGGGGAUAACAGGCUGAUGACCCCCAAGAGUCCAUAUCGACGGGGUUGUUUGGCACCUCGAUGUCGGCUCAUCGCAUCCUGGGGCUGGAGCAGGUCCCAAGGGUUUGGCUGUUCGCCAAUUAAAGCGGUACGUGAGCUGGGUUCAGAACGUCGUGAGACAGUUCGGUCCCUAUCUGCCGUGGGUGUAGGAAUAUUGACAGGAUCUGUCCCUAGUACGAGAGGACCGGGAUGGACAUAUCUCUGGUGGACCUGUUGUCCUGCCAAGGGCAUAGCAGGGUAGCUAUAUAUGGAAGGGAUAACCGCUGAAGGCAUCUAAGCGGGAAACCCACCUGAAAACGAGUAUUCCCUUGA